rnacentral:lncRNA from 1 species
GUUUUAUAUCUCGGCUUCUAACAGCAGGCAGAACGCAUUCCUAUGCCCCGGCUUUCUAGUGCUGUAUUUACUGCUGCAGCUGAGCCUGACUGGCCCCCAUGAGACACAGAAGAUGGGACACCCUCCCCCUGCAGCUCCCAGAAACAGCUGAGCAGUAAAUCACCAUGAUAAUUGUCUGGAUAGAGCCAGGCAGCUGGCUUAAUGAGACGGGAAGGAGGCUGCCGAGGAGGAGGGAUGACGUUUUAACAAGACAACUCACGUCCGGCUAUAAUUCAUCCUUCACAACAUGUUUAAUUUUUCUGGGGCAUUUUCAGAAGCACAAUCGCCAUUUUGAAGAUGCCAAACCCUGUGUGACCUUUUUGGAUCGCUUCACUCAAUCAACGGAAUCAUUCAACACAUUCUUUAAAUGUUUGAA